AUUGAACGCUGGCGGCAGGCUUAACACAUGCAAGUCGAGCGGGGUGAUGGUGCUUGCACUAUCACUUAGCGGCGGACGGGUGAGUAAUGCUUAGGAAUCUGCCUAUUAGUGGGGGACAACAUCUCGAAAGGGAUGCUAAUACCGCAUACGUCCUACGGGAGAAAGCAGGGGAUCACUUGUGACCUUGCGCUAAUAGAUGAGCCUAAGUCGGAUUAGCUAGUUGGUGGGGUAAAGGCCUACCAAGGCGACGAUCUGUAGCGGGUCUGAGAGGAUGCUCCGACACACUGGGACUGAGACACGGCCCAGACUCCUACGGGAGGCAGCAGUGGGGAAUAUUGGACAAUGGGGGGAACCCUGAUCCAGCCAUGCCGCGUGUGUGAAGAAGGCCUUAUGGUUGUAAAGCACUUUAAGCGAGGAGGAGGCUCUUUUGGUUAAUACCCAAGAUGAGUGGACGUUACUCGCAGAAUAAGCACCGGCUAACUCUGUGCCAGCCGCCGCAGUAA
rnacentral:rRNA from 1 species